rnacentral:rRNA from 1 species
AACGAACGUUAGCGGCGCGCCUAACACAUGCAAGUCGAGCGAGAAAGGGCUUCGGCCCCGGUACAGCGGCGCACGGGGGAGUAACACGUAGGUAAUCUACCCCCAGGUGGUGGAUAACCUUCCGAAAGGAGGGCUAAUACAGCAUGAGACCACGACUCCGAAAGGGGAUGAGGUCAAAGCCGGCCUCUUCAUGAAAGCUGGAGCCAGGGGAUGAGCCGGCGGCCCAUCAGCUAGUUGGUAGGGUAACGGCCUACCAAGGCGAAGACGGGUAGCUGGUCUGAGAGGAUGAUCAGCCACACUGGAACUGAGACACGGUCCAGACUCCUACGGGAGGCAGCAGUGGGGAAUCUUGCGCAAUGGGCGAAAGCCUGACGCAGCGACGCCGCGUGAGUGAUAAAGGCCCUCGGGUUGUAAAGCUCUGUGGAGGGGGACGAAUAAGGGUUGGCUAAUAUCCAGCUCGAUGACGGUACCCCUUUAGCAAGCACCGGCUAACUCUGUGCCAGCCGCCGCGGUAAAAC